rnacentral:tRNA from 1 species
GGGUCCGUACGAGUAGUGGCGAUCUCAACUGACUGUAAAUCAGUGACAUAAGAAACACCGCAGGUUCGACUCCUGCCGGGCCCACCA